rnacentral:tRNA from 1 species
GCUAUCUUAGUUUAUAAAGAACCCCUAACUUGCACUUAGGAAGAGGAAUUUACCCCCAGAAAGCA